rnacentral:rRNA from 1 species
CCUGGUAGCGGGGGGUAACUAUUGGAAACGAUAGCUAAUACCGCAUAAUAUUGAUUAUUUGCAUGAUAAUUGAUUGAAAGAUGCUAUUGCAUCACUACCAGAUGGACCUGCGUUGUAUUAGCUAGUAGGUGAGGUAACGGCUCACCUAGGCGACGAUACAUAGCCGACCUGAGAGGGUGAUCGGCCACACUGGGACUGAGACACGGCCCAG